rnacentral:rRNA from 1 species
AACGAACGCUGGCGGCGCGCCUAAUACAUGCAAGUCGAGCGAGAAGACGUAGCAAUACGUUUGUAAAGCGGCGAACGGGUGAGGAAUACAUGGGUAACCUACCCUCGAGUGGGGAAUAACUAGCCGAAAGGUUAGCUAAUACCGCGUACGCUCCUUGGACUUCGGUUCAGGGAGGAAAGCGAUACCGCGGGUAUCGCGCUCUUGGAUGGGCUCAUGUCCUAUCAGCUUGUUGGUGAGGUAACGGCUCACCAAGGCUUCGACGGGUAGCUGGUCUGAGAGGACGAUCAGCCACACUGGCACUGCGACACGGGCCAGGACUCCUACGGGAGGCAGCAGUAAGGAAUAUUGCGCAAUGGGCGAAAGCCUGACGCAGCGACGCC